AUGAUAGAUGCUGACGCGCAUCUUUGGCAAAACUUGAUGACUACGUGGCCAGAAAUAGCUAAGUUCCAGAAUAAGCCCUUUCCCCUCUACGAUAAGCUUGGUGAUCUAUAUGAUGGGCACAUAGCAGAAGGUAACUUCAAUUUCACAUCAACUGAGGUUACACAAGUGAGUGAUGGUGAUCCCGAAGUUGAAAGAGAGAAGACCGCCUUCUCUUUUGACCUGAAUCAAUACAAUGAUGAUUUACGCAUGUAUGAUGAUCCAAGAGAUGCCGCCCCAAGUGAUGGUCCAAGAGAUACUGCCCCAAGUGAUGGUCCCAGAGAUGCUGGCCCAAGUGAUGGUCCAAGAGGUGAUGGUCCAAGAGGUGAUGCCCCAAGUGAUGGUUCAAGAGAUGCUACACAAAGAGGUGGUGUUGCUGCUUCAAAUAACAAGCAUGUGAAGUAA
rnacentral:rRNA from 1 species